AACUGGAUUUAAUCUAGACGAGAGGCUUAUGGCGACACGGAGGUUAUGACCGGCAUUUUCGCUCAAUACCUGUACAGAACCAGUAUUAAUUUAAUCACUAUUAAUAAGGCAGGUGCCAUCUCAUCAUGUGAUGAAAGUUAUUGUGUCAUCUUUUGAAAUAUGUAAAUACGCAUCGAGAUCGAAUACCAAACGUUCAGUCUAAAUUUAUACCUUGAAGGUGUUUGUUUAGCCUUAUUCUAUUGAGCUGAAAAUGCAAAAAUCUGUUUUGUUUGUUUUCGCUGUUCUCUUAGUUCUAUCAUGGGUUCAAGCAGAUCUAGCGAAAUCUGUCGCACAAUUUAAGGGACUGCAAUGUCAUAUAAAAGACGACGUGGACAGAUCGAAUUUCUACUGGAAAGGAACAUCGCCAAUUUGUUCGACAAGCAACGAAUGUCCGACCGGAUUUAUUUUGGUAUGCAAAGACGGUUGUGGAGACGGAAAAUGUUGCGUGACCGGCGUAAAUGCCUGGUGUUGUCCUAUUCCUAAACCAGCGACACCAUAAUAGAAACCCGUUCAAAACUGAUACAAAUUGAAUGCCAACCAUGAGUAGAUCAAAUUGCAUACUGUAUGUGCGUACAAUUGUAUACCCUUUUUCUGAAAACAACACAUUUUGAAUUAGAAACAUUUUGAAGUUGUGCUAUCAAUUAUUCUCUUUGGCGCUUAUCUUUUGAGCAGAAAACAAUGGUCUGCACUCUAUAUUAUUAUGCUGCUAAACAAAAAUUUUUAUUUGGGCACCAAUUAAAUUCAAUUGAAACUUUACAGACAUUAUGCUUCGAUAAAAAUUAAGAAUUGGAAUUCAUCAACCGCGUAUUUCACAGAAUUGGAGGUCCGAUUCUUUCGGCGCAUCUUACUUCGCUCUAUACGAGAUCAGAAGAAAUUUGCAAUUGCGGAUUGAAUAAUUAUCGAAGGACAAUUUUGAUUAUGCAGGA